AACGAACGCUGGCGGCAUGCCUAACACAUGCAAGUCGAACGAGACCUUCGGGUCUAGUGGCGCACGGGUGCGUAACGCGUGGGAACCUGCCCUUAGGUUCGGAAUAACUCCCCGAAAGGGGUGCUAAUACCGGAUAAUGUCUUCGGACCAAAGAUUUAUCGCCUUUGGAUGGGCCCGCGUUGGAUUAGCUAGUUGGUAGGGUAAAAGCCUACCAAGGCGUCGAUGCAUAGCUGGUCUGAGAGGAUGAUCAGCCACACUGGGACUGAGACACGGCCCAGACUCCUACGGGAGGCAGCAGUAGGGAAUAUUGGACGAUGGGCGAUAGCCUGAUCCAGCAGUGCCGCGUGAGUGAGGAAGGCCUUAGGGUUGUAAAGCUCUUUUACCCGGGAUGAUAAUGACAGUACCGGGAGAAUAAGCACCGGCUAACUCCGUG
rnacentral:rRNA from 1 species